rnacentral:rRNA from 1 species
AGAGUUUGAUCCUGGCUCAGAAUCAACGCUGGCGGCGUGCCUCAGACAUGCAAGUCGAACGCGAAAGGCCCCUUCGGGGGCCGAGUAGAGUGGCGCACGGGUGAGUAACACGUGGGUAAUUUGCCUUCGGGUGGGGAAUAACAGCCGGAAACGGCUGCUAAUACCGCAUAAUGCAGCGGCAUCUAUGAUGACAGUUGUUAAAGCGGGGGAUUCGCAAGAACCUCGCGCCUGAAGAGAAGCCCGCGGCGGAUUAGCUAGUUGGUAGGGUAAUGGCCUACCAAGGCGACGAUCCGUAGCCGGCCUGAGAGGGCGGUCGGCCACACUGACACUGACAUACGGGUCAGACUCCUACGGGAGGCAGCAGUCGGGAAUUUUGGGCAAUGGGCGCAAGCCUGACCCAGCAACGCCGCGUGAAGGAUGAAGUUUUUCGGAAUGUAAACUUCACAAGAAUGGGAAGAAUAAGUCCUGGCUAACAUCCAGGACGAUGACGGUACCAUUUGUAAGCUCCGGCUAACUCCGUGCCAGCAGCCGCGGUAAUACGGGGGGAGCAAGCGUUGUUCGGAUUUACUGGGCGUAAAGGGCGCGUAGGCGGCGCGACAAGUCACUUGUGAAAUCUCCGGGCUCAACUCGGAACGGCCAAGUGAUACUGUCGUGCUAGAGUGCGGAAGGGGCAACUGGAAUUCUCGGUGUAGCGGUGAAAUGCGUAGAUAUCGAGAGGAACACCUGCGGCGAAGGCGGGUUGCUGGGCCGACACUGACGCUGAAGCGCGAAAGCUAGGGGAGCGAACGGGAUUAGAUACCCCGGUAGUCCUAGCCUUAAACGAUGAAUGCUUGGUGUCCGGGGUUAGAUAGUCCCCGGGUGCCGUCGCUAACGCUAUAAGCAUUCCGCCUGGGGAGUACGGUCGCAAGACUGAAACUCAAAGGAAUUGAC